rnacentral:rRNA from 1 species
AGUAAAAGUCGUAACAAGGUCUCCGUUGGUGAACCAGCGGAGGGAUCAUUACAGAGUUAUCCAACUCCCAAACCCAUGUGAACUUAUCUCUUUGUUGCCUCGGCGCAAGCUACCCGGGACCUCGCGCCCCGGGGGGCCCGCCGGCGGACAAACCAAACUCUGUUAUCUUCGUUGAUUAUCUGAGUGUCUUAUUUAAUAAGUCAAAACUUUCAACAACGGAUCUCUUGGUUCUGGCAUCGAUGAAGAACGCAGCGAAAUGCGAUAAGUAAUGUGAAUUGCAGAAUUCAGUGAAUCAUCGAAUCUUUGAACGCACAUUGCGCCCAUUAGUAUUCUAGUGGGCAUGCCUGUUCGAGCGUCAUUUCAACCCCUAAGCACAGCUUAUUGUUGGGACUCUACGGCUUCGUAGUUCCCCAAAGACAUUGGCGGAGUGGCAGCAGUCCUCUGAGCGUAGUAAUUCUUUAUCUCGCUUUUGUUAGGCGCUGCCCCCCCGGCCGUAAAACCCCCAAUUUUUUCUGGUUGACCUCGGAUCAGGUAGGAAUACCCGCCGAACUUAAGCAUAUCAAUAAGCGGAGGAAAAGAAACCAACAGGGAUUGCCCCAGUAACG